AGUUUGAUCAUGGCUCAGAUUGAACGCUGGCGGCAUGCCUUACACAUGCAAGUCGAACGGCAGCACGGGAGCUUGCUCCUGGUGGCGAGUGGCGAACGGGUGAGUAAUACAUCGGAACGUACCCUGAAGUGGGGGAUAACGUAGCGAAAGUUACGCUAAUACCGCAUAUUCUGUGAGCAGGAAAGAGGGGGAUCGCAAGACCUCUUGCUUUAGGAGCGGCCGAUGUCGGAUUAGCUAGUUGGUGAGGUAAAGGCUCACCAAGGGCGACGAUCCGUAGCGGGUCUGAGAGGAUGAUCCGCCACACUGGGACUGAGACACGGCCCAGACUCCUACGGGAGGCAGCAGUGGGGAAUUUUGGACAAUGGGCGCAAGCCUGAUCCAGCCAUGCCGCGUGAGUGAAGAAGGCCUUCGGGUUGUAAAGCUCUUUCGGUGGGGAAGAAAUUGCUUCGGUUAAUACCUGGAGUAGAUGACGGUACCCGCAUAAGAAGCACCGGCUAACUACGUG
rnacentral:rRNA from 1 species